AAGUCGAAUGGUAACAGGAAACAGCUUGCUGUUUCGCUGACGAGUGGCGGACGGGUGAGUAAUGUCUGGGAAACUGCCUGAUGGAGGGGGAUAACUACUGGAAACGGUAGCUAAUACCGCAUAACGUCGCAAGACCAAAGAGGGGGACCUUCGGGCCUCUUGCCAUCAGAUGUGCCCAGAUGGGAUUAGCUAGUAGGUGGGGUAACGGCUCACCUAGGCGACGAUCCCUAGCUGGUCUGAGAGGAUGACCAGCCACACUGGAACUGAGACACGGUCCAGACUCCUACGGGAGGCAGUAGUGGGGAAUAUUGCACAAUGGGCGCAAGCCUGAUGCAGCCAUGCCGCGUGUAUGAAGAAGGCCUUCGGGUUGUAAAGUACUUUCAGCGGGGAGGAAG
rnacentral:rRNA from 1 species